rnacentral:tRNA from 1 species
GGUUGUAUAGCGCAAUAAUAGCGCACUUGUUCUUGUAACGGGAGGUUUUGGGUUUAACUUCCGGUGCAACCU